rnacentral:misc_RNA from 1 species
GGAUCAUUGCUGGAACGCGCUUCGGCGCACCCAGAAACCCUUUGUGAACUUAUACCUAUUGUUGCCUCGGCGUAGGCCGGCCUCUUCACUGAAGGCCCCCUGGAAACAGGGAGCAGCCCGCCGGCGGCCAACCAAACUCUUGUUUCUACAGUGAAUCUCUGAGUAAAAAACAUAAAUGAAUCAAAACUUUCAACAACGGAUCUCUUGGUUCUGGCAUCGAUGAAGAACGCAGCGAAAUGCGAUAAGUAAUGUGAAUUGCAGAAUUCAGUGAAUCAUCGAAUCUUUGAACGCACAUUGCGCCCUCUGGUAUUCCGGAGGGCAUGCCUGUUCGAGCGUCAUUUCAACCCUCAAGCCUGGCUUGGUGAUGGGGCACUGCUUUCGUCCAGAAAGCAGGCCCUGAAAUCUAGUGGCGAGCUCGCCAGGACCCCGAGCGUAGUAGUUAUAUCUCGCUCUGGAAGGCCCUGGCGGUGCCCUGUCCUGUUAAACCCCCAACUUCUGAAAAUUUGACCUCGGAUCAGGUAGGAAUA